GUAAAUCCCAAGUUUUGAUAGUACAAAUAUCAACAUGAGUGUGUGUUUCUCUUCUGUCAAAAAUGUUGGAGGAGAGCAAAAAUCAAGUUCUACAUGAAUGACAGAGUGGUGGAGAUCAGAGGGGAGAAUGGUGAAAGAGGUUGUUCUGAGCAGCGGUGCAGUUGUGGAAAUGGAUUUGGUGAUAGCAGGGAUUGGACCUGAGCCCUAGGACCAUGCCCCAGGACUACCUGACAUGAUGACUCCUUGCUGUCCCCAGUCCACCUGGCCGUGCUGCUGCUCCAGUUUCAACUGUUCUGCCUUAUUAUUAUACGACCAUGCUGGUCAUUUAUGAACAUUUGAACAUCUUGGCCAUGUUCUGUUAUAAUCUCC
ensembl:lncRNA